rnacentral:lncRNA from 1 species
GUAAGCAGAUAGCACGUCUCUCCUAAGGGACGUAGCAUUUAUGCUCCUUCACUUUCUCCAGGGAAGUGCCAAUGGGUCUCAGCCUUAGAGUGAAAAGUGGGGAAACUUGAGGUAUAAAGAGAGGAGGCACACUUGUCACACAAUGCCACCUGCAAAAUGGAGCAGGGGCUCCCGACUGCCUGCUGAGAUGUCCUGGGAGACACUGCCUGCCUUGGUGGGAAGGCCCCAGUCGGGACAGAGGGUUCACCCCUGGCUUUCCAGUGUCCACGCACUCCCAACCACAGCCAACAGAGGGCGCUGCCCAGCCGUGUGGGAUCUUUGGGUCUGAGCUGGACAGCUCUUCCUCCAAUCCUUAAGGACGUUUUUUGGGGCUAGGGCCAGAACCCAGGCUUG